AUUAUUUAGCUUCAGCUUAUAAAGACAUAGCAGCAUAUAUCUCCAAAGGUGUUGUCGCUGAAACUGACGUAUUGGUCCACACUAAAUUAUUGGCCUCCUUUUUAAUGGGGCUAGUUUAGUCUGCAACAUUGCAAUCUCUACUUGCAGUUGUUCUUGCCGUUCCUUCUAAUCGAUCUCCGUCCUUACUUUCUCAGACACCAUAUUUUCUAUCUUCUCCUUUUUCGCCAUCUACUUCUCCUUAACCACAAAAGAAA
rnacentral:lncRNA from 1 species